CCUUGGAUCUGAGCAUUAUUGGUGUGGUAGCGGAGGGUCCCGGUUGGUGUAGAGGCGGAGGCAUCCCGGUGUGCACACCGGCGGAGGCAUCAUGGUGUGCAGGGUUGUGGUCGCAGUGAUUUCCCCUUACCGGGUGCAGCGGCGAUGGCAUUCUCCAGUGCCUGGAGCUCCUAGAAGAGGAGCCAAUAGGGUACAUUACAUCGAUGAUGAAGUCAUGGCCAAGCUAGUUUGGUAUGUGCUAAAUAACUAUGAGGAGGUUGAGCCAUAUUUGGACAUGUACAGAGAAGAGUUAGAGAAAAAAGGCGCACAUGAUGUUGACAAAAGGCUUGAAAAAGGAUUUCCUAAAUGGUUUAGGAGUCAU